AGUGAACGCUGGCGGUAGGCCUAACACAUGCAAGUCGAACGGCAGCACAGUAAGAGCUUGCUCUUACGGGUGGCGAGUGGCGGACGGGUGAGGAAUACAUCGGAAUCUACUUUUUCGUGGGGGAUAACGUAGGGAAACUUACGCUAAUACCGCAUACGACCUACGGGUGAAAGCAGGGGAUCUUCGGACCUUGCGCGAUUGAAUGAGCCGAUGUCGGAUUAGCUAGUUGGCGGGGUAAAGGCCCACCAAGGCGACGAUCCGUAGCUGGUCUGAGAGGAUGAUCAGCCACACAGGAACUGAGACACGGUCCAGACUCCUACGGGAGGCAGCAGUGGGGAAUAUUGGACAAUGGGCGCAAGCCUGAUCCAGCCAGACCGCGUGGGUGAAGAAGGCCUUCGGGUUGUAAAGCCCUUUUGUUGGGAAAGAAAAGCAGCAGGUUAAUACCCCGCUGUUCUGACGGUACCCAAAGAAUAAGCACCGGCUAACUUCGU
rnacentral:rRNA from 1 species